AGAGUUUGAUCAUGGCUCAGGAUGAACGCUGGCGGCGUGCCUAAUACAUGCAAGUCGAACGCGAUGAGUAAUCAUCGAGUGGCGAACGGGUGAGUAAGACAUAAGUAACCUACCCUAGACAGGGGGAUAACUAUUGGAAACGAUAGCUAAGACCGCAUAGGUAGAAUAAACGCAUGUUUAUGCUAUUAAAAAUGCUUCGG
rnacentral:rRNA from 1 species